rnacentral:rRNA from 1 species
ACAAUGGAGAGUUUGAUCCUGGCUCAGGACGAACGCUGGCGGCGUGCUUGAUACAUGCAAGUCAAGGAGAAAAUUUCCUUCGGGAAAUAAGUAAACUGGCGAACGGGUGAGUAACACGUAGGUAACCUGCCUUAGAGAUUGGGAUAACCCCGGGAAACCGGAGCUAAUACCGAAUAAUGCAACGAAUCCUUCGGGGUAUGUUGUUAAAGCGGGCUUCGGCUCGCACUUUAAGAUGGGCCUGCGUCCGAUUAGCUUGUUGGUGGGGUAAUGGCCUACCAAGGCGACAAUCGGUAGCUGGUCUGAGAGGAUGAUCAGCCACACUGGGAUUGAGAUACGGCCCAGACUCCUACGGGAG